CCCACCUGGACAGUGUCGUAUCCGAGGAUGCCUGUCAUGCUGCCGGUGCCGUAGGUGAUGGAGACUGUCUCGCUGGUGGACUGGUAGGUGGAAGAAUCCUCAGGGUUGAAGCGGUUGUGCUUCUUCAGGAAGUCCUUCAGCAGUAGACUGAGGGCACCCACAGGUUGGAGGAGCCGGUGUCAAAGACGACGGUGAAAUCCUGGGCAGGAGUUCCGAUGCCGAUAGUGCCGAAGUACUCCAUCUGUCCAGGCGAGGACAGGGCAGUUCACG
rnacentral:lncRNA from 1 species